rnacentral:rRNA from 1 species
UACGGAGGGGGCUAGCGUUGAUCGGAAUUACUGGGCGUAAAGCGCACGCAGGCGGUGAUUUAAGUCAGAUGUGAAAUCCUCGGGCUCAACCUGGGGACUGCCUUUGAAACUGGAAAGCUAGAGUCUCGUAGAGGGGGGUAGAAUUCCAGGUGUAGAGGUGAAAUGCGUAGAGAUCUGGAGGAAUACCGGUGGCGAAGGCGGCCCCCUGGACGAAGACUGACGCUCAGGUGCGAAAGCGUGGGGAGCAAACAGG